UGCCCCUUUUCUCCAUCUCUUUCUCCACAUCUACUUCUUGACAUCCUUUCGUCUGCGUGUGUGUGUGUGUGAGAGAGAGAGAGAGAGGGGAUCGGUGAUGAUCAAUUUCAUGGUGGGCUUGUCAAAGGGUUUCUUACAGAGUUUAUUGGCAUUCUGUCCACCUCCUCCUAUCAUUUUUUUUUACCAUGAAAGAAAAAAAAACAAGAUAAAUAAUGUGGAAUUUAUGAAUAUGUUGCAAAUAUUUUUUCUUUUGUUAGUUAGAGGAGGUGGGCAUACUGCCAACUGAGCUCUGUUGGCUUCACUUUGCAAAACCCUCAUGAAUACAUAAAUUCUUGCUUCUGUCAAAAAACCCCCCCCUUUUUUCACUUGUUUGUUUUUUCUUCCUGCAAAUUAUACUGCAACUGUUUGCAGGUCAAGGUAUGCAUGAUCUGAAAUUUUAGUUAUUGGAUUUAUUUUUUCUACUGAUCAUAUUUUUGUUUUUGUGCUUUUGUGUUUUGUAGUGGCAAUAUUGGCUAUCUGGAUUUCCUAAUUUCCUACAGCUGAACCCUAGUGUUUCUGUUGUUGGAAUCUCUUGGUAUUAAAGGGAUCAAAAAUUUGAGGCCUUUUUGACCCCCUUGGUUUUUAGCCAAGAAAAGCAAACUUCGCGGAGAGAAUUUCCCUAAAAUAAAAGAAUAAUACGAUUCAUUUCCUCUUAUGGGUUUUUAGUGUUUGUUUGUAACAGAAAUAUUCUACACAACCGAAUUCUAUAAAAGAUCAAGAAAUAUAACUUGAUUAGACGUAUGUAAUUUUCACAAA